CCUACGGGCGGCAGCAGUGGGGAAUAUUGCACAAUGGGCGCAAGCCUGAUGCAGCCAUGCCGCGUGUGUGAAGAAGGCCUUCGGGUUGUAAAGCACUUUCAGCGGGGAGGAAGGCGUUAAGGUUAAUAACCUUGGCGAUUGACGUUACCCGCAGAAGAAGCACCGGCUAACUCCGUGCCAGCAGCCGCGGUAAUACGGAGGGUGCAAGCGUUAAUCGGAAUUACUGGGCGUAAAGCGCACGCAGGCGGUCUGUCAAGUCGGAUGUGAAAUCCCCAGGCUCAACCUGGGAACUGCAUUCGAAACUGGCAGGCUAGAGUCUUGUAGAGGGGGGUAGAAUUCCAGGUGUAGCGGUGAAAUGCGUAGAGAUCUGGAGGAAUACCGGUGGCGAAGGCGGCCCCCUGGACAAAGACUGACGCUCAGGUGCGAAAGCGUGGGGAGCAAACAGGAUUAGAUACCCUAGUAGUC
rnacentral:rRNA from 1 species